CAGUCUCUGGUGCCACAGUUUCAUACCUAUGCCAAGUGUCACCCCUACAGACACCUGCUGUUCACUUACACACUUGGCAUCACCUCACAGUGUCCCUCUGUUUGCAUCUUGCAGAGGGAUUCCCCUCUUGAUCACAGCGUGCCCAGGCCAUUGGCACUGUGGUGACCAUGUCACGGAACGUGUGAGACUGGGAAGCUAUGCGCCUGAACUUGUGACAAGCUUUCCAGCGCCCCCUGCCCCCGAAGCUGGCUGGAAAGAAGGUGGGAGACACCUGUUGGGGAGCUGAGAGCGG
rnacentral:lncRNA from 1 species